ensembl:lncRNA
GAACAGCUGAACGCAGGAUUGCAGUUCCAGUUUGACAAGGGAGAGGGAAAGCCCCAGUCGCCCGCUCGCUCACUCUCGGGUAGUGCAACAGAGGAACGGACACCCCACACGCAUACAUCGCGUGCACGGAGACAUGCCGAUUGCUGUUGGUGCUCGCUCUACGGACUAGGCGGAAUUGCAGCUCCCUCAUCACUGUCAGGAGCCAUUCCCUGAAGCCCUCACCAUGAAAACAGCUGAGAAAUACGCACAUGCAGCACAGAGCCUCUGAAGGAUUGAUCUUCGAAGACCUGAGCACAAGAGAAGAGGAACACAGAGGUCUCGGAGGAUCACAUCAGCACAGCAAUCCUUUUGCCAAGGCGUAACUGUGUGGGUUUUAUCCGAAUCAAGAGAGACCUGUGGCCAGAACAUUACAAUGCAUUCAUUGCUGAGGCAGGCUGAAUGGACAAGGAGUUACUCAGUACUGGAAAAAAAUCGAAUUUUACCUGCAUGACUACAAUAGCUCUCUGAGUACUUUUUAAUGAUGUCCUUUUCUGUCCAUUUAAAUGACUUUUGGAUCACAACAGAAUUACACUCACUCAAUGAAGGGCUGGACUGCCUUGUAACAUAUCACUGAAAAAAGGAGCCAAAACUUGAAGCCUUCUGACUCUCCUCUGCCAAUGUCUCUGUGCUCAGGGGGAUCACUGCGAUCCUGUCACUGAGUCAAUGUGGCAAGACAACCUGGC